rnacentral:tRNA from 1 species
CAGGGUGUUGGGUAGGUAUUGCCCACAAAUAUGGGGUUCAGGUGGUCGGAGGUUCAAAUCCUCUCGCCCCGACCA